rnacentral:rRNA from 1 species
UACAGAGGUCUCAAGCGUUGUUCGGAUUCAUUGGGCGUAAAGGGUGCGUAGGCGGCGCGGUAAGUCGGGUGUGAAAUCUUGGAGCUUAACUCCGAAACUGCAUUCGAUACUGCCGUGCUUGAGGACUGGAGAGGAGACUGGAAUUUACGGUGUAGCGGUGAAAUGCGUAGAUAUCGUAAGGAACACCAGUGGCGAAGGCGGCUAACUGGUCCGGUUCUGACGCUGAGGCGCGAAAGCGUGGGGAGCAAACAGG